UGUCACUGAUGUUUCUGUUCUCUGUAGUCUCAAGACCAUCUCUCCACUCCGUUACAUAUUCCAUAUGUACAGGGAAUGACCCCCCACCUGCUAAGGACCGUGGAUAGGCUUUAAGACACACCGGCUCGCCCGGACACGCCCAACCUGAACCUAUAAAACACCUGUGUUGGCGUGUAAUCACUGAUUGUUUGAUCUCC